GACGAACGCUGGCGGCGUGCCUAAUACAUGCAAGUAGGACGCAGUUGCGAACGGGUGAGUAACGCGUAGGUAACUACCUAUUAGAGGGGGCUAACUAUUGUAAACGAUAGCUAAUACCGCCUACUAGUAGAUGGACCUGCGUUGUAUUAGGUAGUAGGUAGGGUAAUGGCCUACCUAGGCAACGAUACAUAGCCGACCGGAGAGGGUGGUCCGGCAAAAUGGGACUUGGACACGGGCCAAAAUCCUACGGGAGGGAGCAGGAGGGAAUUAUUGGACAUGGGGGGAACCCUGACCGAGCAAAGCCGCGGGAGUGAAGAAGGGUUUCGGAUCGUAAAGCUCUGUUGUUAAGGAAGCGUUACUUAACCAGAAAGGGACGGCUAACUACGUGCCAGCAGCCGCGGUAAUUC
rnacentral:rRNA from 1 species